GACGAACGCUGGCGGCGUGCUUAACACAUGCAAGUCGAACGGAAAGGCCCCUUUGGGGGUACUCGAGUGGCGAACGGGUGAGUAACACGUGAGUAACCUGCCCUUGACUUCGGGAUAACUUCAGUAAACUGGGGCUAAUACCGGAUAGGAAUCCUUUCUGCAUGGUGGGGGUUGUAAAGCUUCGGCGGUUUUGUAUGUACUCGCGGCUUAUCAGCUUGUUGGUGGGGUAGUUGCUUACCAAGGCUUUGACGGGUAGCCGGCCUGAGAGGGCGACCGGCCACAUUGGGACUGAGAGACGGCCCAGACUCCUACGGGAGGAAGAAGGGGGGAAUAUUGAAAAAUGGGCGGAAGCCUGAUGCAGAAACGCCGCGUGCGGGAUGACGGCCUUCGGGUUGUAAACCGCUUUCAGAAGGGGAGAAGCUUGUGGUGACGGUACCUGCAGAAGAAGCACCGGCUAACUACGUG
rnacentral:rRNA from 1 species